rnacentral:lncRNA from 1 species
CAAAAAUGCAGCUCAGACAUCUCCUUACAUGCUGUGCUGGGCUCACAAAUCAGAGGAGCCCCCGUGUGCGUCUGGCACUGGAAGCACCCUCGUGCAAGGGCCGGCUUCCCAGCCAGCAGGGUCCCUCCUCCCAGAGCCUCCCACCUCCUCGCAGCUGCAGGACCCACCAGAGGGGCGGGGAGGUUUCUGGACGAGAAAGUCUGGCUCCACCCCUUCGCCACAGCCCGUGCGGCUCACGAGCAGGGCAGUGGCCAACACCCGGCUGACACCAGCCGUGGCUUCUGUUCCUCCUGUAAGUCUUUUGUACCUGAGAAGAGCAUGAUGUCUUCAUGCUUUAGCCUCCCAAGGUAAACUAGAGGUCUCCGCCGAGGCAGAGAAGAUUUGGCUGCUGAAAUGCGAUCUGAGCAGCCUGUUCCAGCUGCUGCACUGUGGCUGUCCUCGGAACAGGUCAAGGGAGCACAGCACACUCUCUCAUCUCCAGAGACAGUCGGAAGACAGGAUGAACACGGAAAGCUCAGCGAGGAGCUGCAGCCCGCCCACACCUGCCCCUCCAGCCUCACCCUGCUCGGCCACACCGGCCCACCAGGACGCCUUCCCUCCCUCUGCGUCCUUGUCCGCCCACCUCAGGGGGCCUGGCACCGUCCUGCCUGCUGGCCGUCGUUGGUGCUCAGCUCUGCCGCGACCAGGUCUGCCCUCGCCAGCGGGACCCGGGUGCGGCCCUCCUGUGUCUCCUGCCCUGCUUUCCCAAGCAAAGGCUCAGAAAGACCUUUGGCGGGAAAAGACCUGCCCGAAUCCAGGCGGAUCACACUGGAAAAGCCACAGGCCCACCACAGUUCACUUCCUGUUUCUGAGAUCAGAAGAUGUCCACAGCCCCAGGCGACUGUGAGACCCAGUGAGGAGAGGGUGGACGCAGCACGUGGAAGGAGAGGCCUCCGAGGACUUUCCAAGUCAGUGUCCAGGCAGGCAAGGGAGGCGGCCUAGGAACAUCUCUUCUGAGAGGCUUCAGUGCUUGCGUCCCACAGCCACUACUCCGAUUUUCUUUCUCCCCAGUCUCUGGUGGAAGAGGCUGCCAUCCUCAGUUCCAGUACCACGGCACCAAGCUUGCUUCUUCACCGGAUCCUCCUGCUGUGGUGAGUUCUCCACAGAGCUCUCGCAGGCCCAGUGUUCGGUGUUCAUCCUUCACUCAUCUGUCAGCAAGUGUUUAUUGAGUGCCCACCUCUGCCUUAGCUUCUGGGAAUGCAAAUAAGAAAAGCAAGCUCUCGCCUUCACAGCGUUAUUGGUCUGAUCAGUGCUGGCUUUGCAGGUGUCCAGCAUCUGUGGCAACAGGGACCAAGUGUGUAAAUUCAUGCAGGCGCCCAUGGGUAAAUUAUCACAGCUGCAAGAGAGGGUGUGAUGUGGGUGCA